GAUGAACGCUGGCGGCGUGCCUAACACAUGCAAGUCGAGCGGAGCAAUCUUGAUGAAGUUUUCGGAUGGAAUCAGGAUUGUCUUAGCGGCGGACGGGUGAGUAACACGUGGAUAACCUGCCUUAUACUGGGGGAUAACAGCCAGAAAUGGCUGCUAAUACCGCAUAAGCGCACGGCGCCGCAUGGCGCAGUGUGAAAAACUCCGGUGGUAUAAGAUGGAUCCGCGCCUGAUUAGCUAGUUGGCGGGGCAGCGGCCCACCAAGGCGACGAUCAGUAGCCGGCCUGAGAGGGCGACCGGCCACAUUGGGACUGAGACACGGCCCAA
rnacentral:rRNA from 1 species